rnacentral:rRNA from 1 species
UUAUGACGUACUUGUACUGAUUGAGAUUUUAACACGAAGUGAGUGGCGAACGGGUGAGUAACACGUGGGUAACCUGCCCAGAAGUAGGGGAUAACACCUGGAAACAGAUGCUAAUACCGUAUAACAGAGAAAACCGCAUGGUUUUCUUUUAAAAGAUGGCUCUGCUAUCACUUCUGGAUGGACCCGCGGCGUAUUAGCUAGUUGGUGAGGUAAAGGCUCACCAAGGCAGUGAUACGUAGCCGACCUGAGAGGGUAAUCGGCCACAUUGGGACUGAGACACGGCCCAGACUCCUACGGGAGGCAGCAGUAGGGAAUCUUCCACAAUGGACGCAAGUCUGAUGGAGCAACGCCGCGUGAGUGAAGAAGGGUUUCGGCUCGUAAAGCUCUGUUGUUAAAGAAGAACGUGGGUAAGAGUAACUGUUUACCCAGUGACGGUAUUUAACCAGAAAGCCACGGCUAACUACGUGCCAGCAGCCGCGGUAAUACGUAGGUGGCAAGCGUUAUCCGGAUUUAUUGGGCGUAAAGCGAGCGCAGGCGGUCUUUUAAGUCUAAUGUGAAAGCCUUCGGCUCAACCGAAGAAGUGCAUUGGAAACUGGGAGACUUGAGUGCAGAAGAGGACAGUGGAACUCCAUGUGUAGCGGUGAAAUGCGUAGAUAUAUGGAAGAACACCAGUGGCGAAGGCGGCUGUCUGGUCUGCAACUGACGCUGAGGCUCGAAAGCAUGGGUAGCGAACAGGAUUAGAUACCCUGGUAGUCCAUGCCGUAAACGAUGAUUACUAAGUGUUGGAGGGUUUCCGCCCUUCAGUGCUGCAGCUAACGCAUUAAGUAAUCCGCCUGGGGAGUACGACCGCAAGGUUGAAACUCAAAGAAUUGACGGGGGCCCGCACAAGCGGUGGAGCAUGUGGUUUAAUUCGAAGCUACGCGAAGAACCUUACCAGGUCUUGACAUCUUCUGACAGUCUAAGAGAUUAGAGGUUCCCUUCGGGACAGAAUGACAGGUGGUGCAUGGUUGUCGUCAGCUCGUGUCGUGAGAUGUUGGGUUAAGUCCCGCAACGAGCGCAACCCUUAUUACUAGUUGCCAGCAUUAAGUUGGGCACUCUAGUGAGACUGCCGGUGACAAACCGGAGGAAGGUGGGGACGACGUCAAAUCAUCAUGCCCCUUAUGACCUGGGCUACACACGUGCUACAAUGGAUGGUACAACGAGUCGCGAAACCGCGAGGUUAAGCUAAUCUCUUAAAACCAUUCUCAGUUCGGACUGUAGGCUGCAACUCGCCUACACGAAGUCGGAAUCGCUAGUAAUCGCGGAUCAGCAUGCCGCGGUGAAUACGUUCCCGGGCCUUGUACACACCGCCCGUCACACCAUGAGAGUUUGUAACACCCAAAGCC